UGUGGAUUCAAGAGAUUGGAUGGCAAUGCUGCUAUGGUUACCAGGGUUUUUGUCUCAGAUUUCAAGAUUGUGGACUUCACCAAAGCAUUCUUAUGUGGAAAUGACAUCUUGAAACCUUAUCUGUUCUCCCUGCCAACAGAAACUGCCUACUCAGAGUAAGCUUUUAUAGACAUAAUGGAGCUCACUUACAACAGCAUCUGUUCUGAAAUAUUCUGCACAGCUAAGAGGGU
rnacentral:lncRNA from 1 species